CAAGCUUUUAAGAGCAGAUGGCGGAUGCCUUGCCAAAGAGAGGCGAUGAAGGACGUACUAGACUGCGAUAAGCUAUGCGGAGCUGUCAAGGAGCUUUGAUGCGUAGAUGUCCGAAUGGGGCAACCCAACUAAUAGAGAUAUUAGUUACUCUAAUAUAGAGAGCGAACCUAGUGAAGUGAAACAUCUCAGUAACUAGAGGAAAAGAAAUCAACGAGAUUCCCUAAGUAGUGGCGAGCGAACGGGGAAAAGGGCAAACCGAGUGCUUGCAUUCGGGGUUGAGGACUGCAACAUCCAAGAGAACGCUUUAGCAGAGUUACCUGGAAAGGUAAGCCAUAGAAAGUGAUAGCCUUGUAUGCGACAAGGCGUUCUUAGGUAGCAGGAUCCAGAGUAGGCCAGGACACGAGAAAUCCAGGUUGAAGCCGGGGAGACCACUCUCCAACCCUAAAUACUACUCUUUGAGCGAUAGCGAACAAGUACCGUGAGGGAAAGGUGAAAAGAACCGCAGUGAGCGGAGUGAAAUAGAACCUGAAACCAUCUGCUUACAAUCAUUCAGAGCCCUAUGAUUUAUCAGGGUGAUGGACUGCCUUUGCAUAAUGAUCCUGCGAGUUGUGGUAUCUGGCAAGGUUUAAGCGAAUGCGAAGCCGUAGCGAAAGCGAGUCUUAAUAGGGCGAACAAGUCAGAUGCUGCAGACCCGAAGCUAAGUGAUCUAUCCAUGGCCAAGUUGAAACGCGUGUAAUAGCGCGUGGAGGACUGAACUCGUACCCAUUGAAACGGGUUGGGAUGAGCUGUGGAUAGGGGUGAAAGGCCAAACAAACUUAGUGAUAGCUGGUUCUCUUCGAAAUAUAUUUAGGUAUAGCCUCAAGUGAUAAUAAAAGGGGGUAGAGCACUGAUUGGGCUAGGGCUGCUCGCCGCGGUACCAAACCCUAUCAAACUUCGAAUACCUUUUAUCGUAUCUUGGGAGUCAGGCGGUGGGUGAUAAAAUCAAUCGUCAAAAGGGGAACAACCCAGACUACCAAAUAAGGUCCCUAAGUUCUAUUCUGAGUGGAAAAAGAUGUGUGGCUACUCAAACAACCAGGAGGUUGGCUUAGAAGCAGCCAUCCUUUAAAGAAAGCGUAACAGCUCACUGGUCUAGUGGUCAUGCGCUGAAAAUAUAACGGGGCUAAGAUAGACACCGAAUUUGUAGAUUGUGUUAAACACAGUGGUAGAAGAGCGUUCAUACCAGCGUUGAAGGUAUACCGGUAAGGAGUGCUGGAGCGGUAUGAAGUGAGCAUGCAGGAAUGAGUAACGAUAAGAUAUAUGAGAAUUGUAUCCGCCGUAAAUCUAAGGUUUCCUACGCGAUGGUCGUCAUCGUAGGGUUAGUCGGGUCCUAAGCCGAGUCCGAAAGGGGUAGGUGAUGGCAAAUUGGUUAAUAUUCCAAUACCGACUAUGGAGCGUGGAUGGGGGGACGCAUAGGGUUAAGCGAGCUAGCUGAUGGAAGCGCUAGUCUAAGGGCGUAGAUUGGAGGAAGGCAAAUCCACCUCUGUAUUUGAACCCAAACAGGCUCUUUGAGCCUUUUAGGACAAAGGGAGAAUCGCUGAUACCGUCGUGCCAAGAAAAGCCUCUAAGCAUAUCCAUAGUCGUCCGUACCGCAAACCGACACAGGUAGAUGAGAUGAGUAUUCUAAGGCGCGUGAAAGAACUCUGGUUAAGGAACUCUGCAAACUAGCACCGUAAGUUCGCGAUAAGGUGUGCCGCAGCAAUGCGGUCUCAGCAAAGAGUCCCUCCCGACUGUUUACCAAAAACACAGCACUUUGCCAACUCGUAAGAGGAAGUAUAAGGUGUGACGCCUGCCCGGUGCUCGAAGGUUAAGAGGAUGCGUCAGUCGCAAGAUGAAGCGUUGAAUUGAAGCCCGAGUAAACGGCGGCCGUAACUAUAACGGUCCUAAGGUAGCGAAAUUCCUUGUCGGUUAAAUACCGACCUGCAUGAAUGGCGUAACGAGAUGGGAGCUGUCUCAACCAGAGAUUCAGUGAAAUUGUAGUGGAGGUGAAAAUUCCUCCUACCCGCGGCAAGACGGAAAGACCCCGUGGACCUUUACUACAACUUAGCACUGCUAACGGGAAUAUCAUGCGCAGGAUAGGUGGGAGGCUUUGAAGUAAGGGCUUUGGCUCUUAUGGAGCCAUCCUUGAGAUACCACCCUUGAUGUUUCUGUUAGCUAACUGGCCUGUGUUAUC
rnacentral:rRNA from 1 species